CUUCGUUUUGUCUGUGUGUAUUUAAACUCACGUCAGGGUGUGCAUCGUUGUUGGUCAUUGUCGAUGUAACGUUUUAAUGUUUCUUCGUCAUUGUGAAAGCGUUUGCGUGUUCAUCGUGUUUGUUUAAAUGUCACUCGUUUCAUGUUCAUGUUAUCGUUUGCAAUACGUUUGAGUGCCGCUAUCAUUUAUGUAAUACAUGUUCGUCCCUGUCGAGGAAAUCUGCGCUUCCUGCUCCACGCCCUGCGGCACUCAGGCCACCACGCGUUACAAGUAGAUCAUUCUGAGAAAAUGUAGUUAUGUACUAUCCACCUCUGAAUAUGAAAUAUAUAUACAUAUAUAUGUAGCAACAUCAAAAUAAAUAGGCUAAUUAGCCUAAAUACAUACGAUCCAAUUAAACAAUAUUAUUACUUCAUGGGAUACAGUACAUGCUUUAUUUAUUUUUAUGUAUGCAUUUGUUUGUGCCUGAAGGUUUCCUGUAUGUGAGAGGCUGUGAUUGAUAUUCUCUCCCCAGUCCCAUUUUUUGUAAAAUUCUGCAGCUUUUCAUAGCACAAAGUGCAACAUCCUACAACAUAUUCACUAUAUUGUUUCAAGAGCAUUCAUAAGCACACAAACACGUGAGCUGAAGUGGAGUAUCAACAGGAGGGUGUGCUGAUUAAACGUCGCAUCUCAUGGACCAUCAGCUAUGAGGUGUACACUUCUCAUAUCCUUUGCUUGGGUCUCCAUAUGCUGGAGACCAAUAUAGAUUAAGUGAGCCAUCAGCCAGUGUAAGAACUUAAAGCAGCCAAGUGAACAGGUGUUGCUAAUUGCUCCUGAUUACUGUGAAGUGGCCCUGUGUCUUCCUCUGUUGACUGAAGAUGGCCUUGCUGGCGACCCAGUUUCUUUCAAGGUAAGCAGCCUAUUAAUUUAAGCAUUAGUCCUAUUCCAUUCUGCGCAUUAUUCUCUAUUAGUGUAAGCUUAGCAUUCAUUUAAUUUUAUGCAACCCCACAAUAUCCGUACAUAUAAUACGGAUGUAAUAAUAUACAAUAACAUUCCAAUGAGUAUAAUUUUCAGUCAAAGUAAUUCUCUCAACACGUCUGUGUUCGUACUAAUAAGUACAGGAAAACCAGACAGCGAUGAUUUCAGUAUGUAGUUUGCCUACGGGUGUGACGUUGAGAUGCGCUCAAGUAUCCUCGCUGUCUGCUUUUGUUCCCACAGUCCCACACUUGGCUACAUGGAAAGUGAGAGGCAGAGCGAGACACUACGCUUCGUUGCCAUGUUGUGUAAAUGUACUAUUAUGUGCGCACUGGUCGUGCAUGAGCUUUGUAUUUACCAGUUUUCUUUCAACAUCUUGAAUCUAUGUUAAUAUUAUGCGAGCUCACAUGUAACCAAAGCCUGUGAUCUGAAAUGCUGAAAUAAGCGUUUCAGAUUAGUCACCUGCAAAAAUGUUCCUUCAGACAUUACAGACCGUAACCUUCUUAAGGACACACACAUGCCUUACUUUGUAAUAUCACUGCAACGCCACUGAAUAACGUGACUGUUCCAGUUAGACGCACAAAGCUCUUUCUUCUAAGAUUCUAACGCAUCCUGUGUCCUGACAUUUGAUAUACAGGAGACACUACGUCCUGUCUAUCCAGUUUGGUGUAUUUUACAUUUUAAUAAGGCAAAUAUGAGGAGGAGUGAAUAGCUAUAUUCCUAAAUCGCUGUGAAGCAUACUGAACGAACUUCAGGUGAAGAAUUUCACUUUGAUAUAGCUGCAGAAACAAGGGCAGCAAUUCCAGACAUCACUAUAACCCAACACACACAGGGUAGUACAUGCAUACCUGAAUGUGUGUUUUCCCCUCCAAAUGUCUCCUGCCCUUUUGCUUGUUUUGUUGUUCUUAGUCUCCCUCCAUCUUUGCUCAAAGGUCAAUCAUUGCUAAUCCCUUAAUGCUCAUCACAUUUAUUUGACAACAGAUUUGCGGUUCCAGAUUCAAGACUUAUCAUCAGGCACACACAUUUCUAGUAAAACGUGCGCACACACCUUAAAUGAAAUCCUUACGUUGCUAGUCCUCCAGACACCAACAAGACGCAAUCAAAAGGAAGACUAAAUAGUUCAGUAAUAGUGGUAGUGUAUGUGUAGAGUCCAACCUUCACUGUGUGUGCGCGGUGGAGGCAGUAAAGGGGAAUGAGCAAGGGUUGGAAGUCAUUCUAAAGCCUAACAGUUUUGGGUCAAAGCUUCUUGUUUUCUGGACUUCCCACCCCUGCGUUAUCUGCCCCUGCUCGUAGCCAGCUAUGUAGUCACUCAGGUCCGGACCCUGGAAGUUUUAUAGAGCUUAAACUGAAACCAAUUCUUAAUCAUCCAUAUUUCUACUUGACUGACUAGCCCUGCUUGAUUCAUUUUUAAAAACUUGCAAAGAUAAGAUGUUUAUGGUAACACUGUGACUCCUUUCUCAUUUUACAGUGAUGCUGCAGUCAGGGUAAUGUUAGCUUGUUUUCGAUGCUAAGGAAACUGAUUUAGUUUUAUAUCACCAAAACAACAACAACAACAACAACAAAACCCCCAUAAGAUGUAACCUCACAGUUUAGCCACAUUAUUCAGAUGAAAACUACGUGGUUGAUGAUCCAAGUUCUGAAUGCACAUAAGCAAGCAUUUUUUCAGAGAUUGCAGCACUACAUACAGAAGUCUGAGGCAGCUUCAUGUUCCAGCAGUUAGCCAUACACAACCCAGCAUCACACAGAAUGCUCAAAUAUCAUAUCAGUAUCAUAUUUCCAACAUGGAUAUGCAUGAUCAUAUGAUACUGUCAUAGUUUCUCUGUGCAACUUGCUUUCUCUGUGAAAUUAGAAGCCUGCAUAGACAAAUCUUGUCAAGUAGUGCUUGUCUUUGGAUGUACUCACACUAGGCGAUCUGAAUUUGAAUAUUGAGGUUUCACUACACUGUACUAUAUAAGGAUUAUAGUAAAUUAAUUUUAUUUGUGGUUAAUUUUAUUUUACAGGUUUGUAUUGCUUUUUUUUUUAGUUAUAGUGAAUUGUUUUAUAGUAUUUCUUAUUUCUGUUACCUUAGAGCCAUAUUAAAGUGACAGUUGCCUUAUA